UCGCCACAAGUUUAUAAUAAGCUCAUAAAAGAGUAGUUUCGACUUCGAAAAAGAAGAAAGCCAUACUCCUUUUAGAUCUCACUCAUGGCUAUCGUCGUAAGCUCCUUGACCUCCGGAUCCUUGCCGCGAUACAGUCCGGAGGUUUCUCGGCAACGACGGAGCUCACUUGUGUCUGCAUCGCCUCUUCGCCGGCAAAUCCUCGCCGGCUUGGCCAUCAAGUCGCGGGGCAUCAACCGUGUCCAGCCGACGACGAGAGGAGCAACACAGUAAGUGUUACUGAUGUUGUGAUAACCCUGCCUAAGCUUCCUACCAGCUUGUAUGUUGAUGGCAGUACCUUACAAGAUUGUUACAUAACAUUUCACCUAUUUCGUUCAGGAUCCCCGCAGCCGCAGCUGGCCCAAGCUCCGGAGACCGAGCAGGAGGAAAGUUCCCAGUUCCCAACGUGCCUUCAUGGUGAGUACAGAAGUGUUAACAUGUACAGUGUAUUUCUGAAUGCGAUGUCGAUUUCCUUCACACAUUGACGACCUACGAGCUUAUCAGGGUCAAGCUGCUCGUCGGUCUCUUCUUUGCCGGAGUACCUCUUUACAGACAGAUGAGAGCCCUGCAAGGUAAAUUCAAAUCUACUUCUGGGCUACUACCUUUUCCAUUAGUUCCAUAACAGAAAUAACAUAGUCCCACGAGAAAGGAAAAGAGGCAGAGUGCCAAAACCUGAUAAGAGUACCAGCUACUACCGUCCAGAGCGGCUAAGAGCAACACAACCGAAAAGAAUCUGCAAAUCUGGUACUGUUAUAGUACUCCCUCCGUCCCAAAAUUCUUGUCUUAGAUUUGUCUAGAUAUGGAUGUACCUAUAAUACUAAAACGUGACUUGAUACAUCCGCAUUUGGACAAAUCUAAGACAAGAUUUUUAGGACGGAGGGAGUACCAGGUACUACUGUCCAGAGAGGCUAAGGGCCCUAGAGAUCGCGCCCAUCAGGAUUCCUUUGUGAGCCUCCUUCUUCAGUCCUAUCCAAGUAGAUCAGGAGGAGAGCACAUAGACAGCACCAUUUUCAAAGGUGAGCAAACCACACAAUGCUCCAAACAUACCUUUGUUCCGACAGGUCCAGAUCACCUAGCAAAGUGUAAGCGAGCACCCCAGGAAGGAAAGCCUGAGGCUAACCAUGAAACUGCCACAAGGAGUUAGGAGUUUGGACACGCAUUAGUGCUCAAGAGUGAUCUGACCCACAAUACCUCACACUUCCCUGGACGUCGGGCGAGUAAAAUGGUUACCCUUUCUCACAAUGAUCACAAAAGCACAAAAAGGAGACCCUAGCCAUUUCCUCCCUACGUAUUGUUUUUUCGUGAGGACAAAAUUUAGACACAGUUGCAUAGAAAUGUUUGAAUUUUAUGAGGAAUUUUAUUCGUUUGGAAAUACAAGCCAGUUUUGUCCUCACGAACUCAUGAAAAGCUUGUCAGACAGUAAAAUUUGUUAGAAAUGCUUAAAAAUUGAAAAGAAAAAAAAUCGAACGUCAAUACAUGUUUAUGCCUUCUAUGUGCAUGGAAUUUUUCAUGAUGAAAUGGCACAUUUUACUUGGAAGAAAAAGAAAUACAAUAACAGUGCUCUGAAAAUAAUACUCCCGAAUUAUGUCGAUCGUAGCAUGCAUCUUGAUUUUAACUUCACUCCAUGUGUGUAAAUCACAUACAAUAGAUAGGGUGGAGCAGACGGCAGAAGUAGCAAUUGAGGUGGUCGAAAAAGUGGCUGAGGCGGCUGAGAAAAUUGCUGAUGAUGUAUCUGAAGCAUUUCCCGGUAAUGAUAACCUCAAAAAGGCAGCAUCCAGGAUCAAGGCCGUUGCAGAUGAAAUUGAGAAGGACGCGGAGAAAGCCAAGGCCCUAAUUGAGAAGGUUAGGUUAACUGCCUACUAAUUUAUUACUCCCCCGAUUUUAAGCUCAAUGGCCUUUGUAAUUAGAAAAAGAUCAAUGGAAUUUUUAAAAGGGAAAAUCUUAAUGCACUACAUGACAACUAAUCUCUAUUUGGUUCGAGGACAUUAAUUAAAAUGUGUGGUGUUUAGUAUGUCAAGAUAUUUGCCCUUUUAUGUAUAGAACUACUAACCUUUUUCCUUUUUUUUUGGAUGGACUAACCUUUUUCCCUUGUUCAAUCGCAGGUUGAUGAGAUAGAGAAAGAGAUGGAUUCCGUAGUGGAUUCUGUAAUUGAGAAGGUCAAGAAGGAGAGAUCAUUGAGAAAGAACUCAGUGAAAGGAGACGAUGUCGAUAGGAAACAGAAGUAACACUUAGGUGUUAACAGAGUAUCGAGGCAAAAUGCAGAAUAAUUACUUUGUACUCCCUCCAUAAACUAAUAUAAGAGCGUUUAGAUCACUAAAAUAGUGAUCUAAACACUCUUAUAUUAGUUUACGGAGGGAGUACUAUUCUUUUCCCUAUUUAAAAUCAUCAGGGAUCAGAUUCCCGAUUCCAUUUCAUAGAAACAAAACCAAUGUUCAAGGCUAACGCUUACCGGACUUUGAAUUAUUUUCGCAAAUGGUAGCUUUAUUGGACCACUUUUAGCCUCCCAUUAGGGACGAAAUGGUUAGCUGCAAAGUGUCGCAUUGAAUGAUGGUCUUGCAUUAUGGUGGUGAUGAAGAUCUGAUCUGGAUCAUAUUAGCUCUGACAAACAUGUUACUCGGUAGUUUUGGUCUUUUUGCCAAUGGUACACUGCCUGCAAAGAGAGCUUGGUUUUGCCUCUCCCCCUCGCAAAGAAGGCCUAUCAAUCUGUGGUUACUUAUACUUAGUUGCUAGCUUGGUAAAAGAAGAAGGCACGACUCAUACAAGAGAGACGCUGAGAAGAGAUGAAGAUGAAGUGGCGGUGGGUCUCCUCGUGGAUGACGUGCGCGAGUGUCGGGUCCGGUCCGGCUGCGUGUGGCAGUCAGACAACGAGGAGCGCGUGCGCUGCAUUUUAUGUUAUCUUCGUGUGAUGCGCAUCGGUUGUCAUUUUGUCCAUUUAUUAUGGUUGGUACGCAGACUAGUGUACAGGAGCACUAAUAUUUAAGCUCAUGAGUAGAACUCCGCAGAAGAAAGCAACCCCAUGAGAUCGCCACAAGUUUAUAAUAAGCUCAUAAAAGGGUAGUUUCGACUUCCAAAAAGAAGAAAGCCAUACUCCUUUUAGAUCUCACUCAUGGCGAUCCCCGUAAGCUCCUUGACCUCCGGAUCCUUGCCGCGAUACAGUCCGGAGGUUUCUCGGCAACGACGGAGCUCACUUGUGUCUGCAUCGCCUCGUCGCCGGCAAAUCCUCGCUG
rnacentral:lncRNA from 1 species